UACGAGGGGGGCGAGCGUUGUUCGGAAUUAUUGGGCGUAAAGCGUGCGUAGACGGUUAUGUAAGUCGGGUGUGAAAGCCCCGGGCUCAACCUGGGAAUGCCAUUCGAGACUGCAUAGCUAGGGUGCGGAAGAGGGAAGCGGAAUUUCCGGUGUAGCGGUGAAAUGCGUAGAUAUCGGAAGGAACACCAGUGGCGAAAGCGGCUUCCUGGUCCAGCACCGACGUUCAGGCACGAAAGCGUGGGGAGCAAACAGG
rnacentral:rRNA from 1 species